UCCCUGGUAGUAUAUCGGCUAGUACACCCGCUUGUCAUUGCAAAUGCUGCUGUGCGCGGGAGAGCGGGGUUCGACUCCCCGCCAAGGAG